rnacentral:lncRNA from 1 species
UUAUGGGGGGGGGGCUAGGAUGAAAUUUGAAAAAAAUAGGCAGGACAGGAGUUUUGAGUAAAAAAAAAGGCAGGAUGACAAUUUGUGUAAAAAAAGUCAGGAUAACUAGUAAAAAAAAAAGGCAGGACCGAAUAGAGUAAAAAAUAAAAAGGCAGGACAGAGAUUACAACUAAAAAAAAAAGCAGGACAAAAUUUUUCAUCCUAGCCCCCCAUAAAAAUCAAAUGGUAGCUCCCUUAUUU